GGCCAGGAGGGUGUCCUCACCCUAGGUGGGGAGGGUGUAGGUGCUGCGCUAUUGCUCCCUGCGCACUGUUUUUCUUGCCGAGUGCACGGAAAGGCCUUGGCCUACUGCCAUCCACCAUCCAGUCUGGAGCAAACAAAAAAUGUCAGCCGCUGGCC
rnacentral:sRNA from 1 species